CCUACGGGGGGCAGCAGUAGGGAAUCUUUCACAAUGGGCGAAAGCCUGAUGGAGCAACGCCGCGUGCAGGAUGAAGGCCUUCGGGUUGUAAACUGCUUUUAUAAGCGAGAAAUAUGAUGGUAACUUAUGAAUAAGGAUCGGCUAACUACGUGCCAGCAGCCGCGGUCAUACGUAGGAUCCGAGCAUUAUCCGGAGUGACUGGGUGUAAAGAGUUGCGUAGGUGGCAUAAUAAGUAGCUAGUGAAAUCUGGUGGCUCAACCAUUCAGACUAUUAGCUAAACUGUUAAGCUCGAGACCGUUAGUGGUAACUGGAAUGUCUAGUGUAGGAGUGAAAUCCGUAGAUAUUAGAAGGAACACCAAUAGCGUAGGCAGGUUGCUGGGACGGUUCUGACACUAAGGCACGAAAGCGUAGGGAGCAAACGGGAUUAGAUACCCGAGUAGUC
rnacentral:rRNA from 1 species